rnacentral:lncRNA from 1 species
CUUCCACCAACGACGGAGUUAAGACCACCAUCGAACUCCUGGAGACUCCACGAUCACGUAGACACCAAUUUCAGGUAAGUUUUACUUCGGAAAACCUAGAUUCUAAACUCCCGUGAAAGUGCACUGUUCAUGAUCUUCGAAUUGACUUUGUUUUAGGACAAUCCAAGCUCAUAGUGAGCUUUAGGAUGUCCCAAGGAAGCUCGGAGUGCUUCGUUGGAAGUUUUUGGACGUAAGAACACGGAGAUCGACAAGUUCAAAGUUUGGCCGGAGCUUUCGAGGCGUUUUCCGGCGAAUCCCCGGCGAGUUAGGAGUCGAGGUAGGUAUCAAUCUCUUCGUCUCGUCAAGUACUAUAACUUUCAUUUUUGUUUCACUCAAUUUCGUUGAGUAUUGAAGAAGUUAUACUCAUUUGAAAAAUACCCAGUUUCCGGCGACCUCCGAGGCUUUCGAGGCAGUUUCCGGCCAAACCACGGCUAACUAGGUGUUGUGCAAGGUACCAUUCUCUUUGUCUCUUCAAGGGCUACAACUUUCGUUUUUGAAUCACUUGAUUUCGUUGAGAAAUGACAAAGUUAUGGCAAUUUGAAAAACUGCUCAGAAAACGGCCGCCGGAAAAACCAGUCCGGCGACCCAAGGAAGAAGAAGGUGCUACAGUAAAAAUAAAAAAUAAAAAUAAAAUUAUUUUAAAAAUAUGUCGACGUCCGUGACGUCGAGUAGAUCACUGUGGUAUAUUCAUAUACCUAAAUUGAACACCGUAUGAGAAAGUUAUUGAAGAUUGUUGGUUAGGUGUUCAAAUAACGUUUUAUAGUUUUCACAUUUAGGUGAAAAUGUGAAUUGAUGAUCCGACCGUUGGAUCGUCACCAAACUUUGAUACGUUGUAAUACGUAAUAUUUGAGGAUUAUUGGAACUUACGGAUUGGGAAUCCGAAUUACGGAUCUUCCGGAAUUGGAAUUGUAAGUCCAUAAUAUAAAAUGUUAACCGUCACUUAGUUUUGGAAAUUGACGGAGAUCCGACCGUUGGAUGGUAAUGAAAUUUUAGGAUGUUGUCCUAGAGGUAUAAUGUGGACCUCUGGAAGUUAUGGAUUAAAAUCUGAGUGGUGGAUCUUCCGGAUCAAUCUACGUAGUGACGUAUUUUAUAUAAGUUAUAUAUUCUAUCGAUAUGAAUUCUGAGGUUGGAAUUGAUUAUUGUUUUAGGCGCCGAUCGUCAUGACGCCUUGGCGUAUUGUGCUAGGGAGUUGUAGGGCGAACUCCAGGUGAGUGGGCAGUUUUGUUUUCCGUAUAUAUAUAUAUAUACUUGACGUUUCCCAGAAAUUGAAAAUGCAUGAAAUUAUGCUUUAAAUGAAAAUGCAUAGAAUUGAUAUGAAAAGUAUAUAGAAAUGUGAGUUGAAAUGCCAUGCAUGAAUUAAUAUAUGAUGCAUAUGUAUGAAUUGGUGCGGUGGACGCACAGGUAAGAAUUGAUUUAUGAUGCAUAUGUAUGAAAUGGUGCGGUGGACGCACAGGUGAGUAUUUAAUUACUGUUAUGAUGAUGAUGAUAUAUAUUGAGCUCAAAUCCUGCACCAUGGUUUAGUGCUUAUAGUAUUCACCGCAUCGCACGCUCGCCUUGGAUCCAAGUAGAUGCUAGUCGUACAGUCCACGCGGAGUGGGUACGACAGACCAGUCGCGAGAGUGUUAGUGAGAUUCCGACUGGUGGGUGACCUUAGAUUAUGUGCACAGAUGAUUUAUGAGAAGCACUAGAGCGUAACUUGUGUGCAGAAGGCCGGACGGGUCACAGAGGUGACUCCGGUAGAGUGAUAAUGAUAGAUUUUGAGCUCUAGGUUCAACCGUACAGGGCUAUUAGAGGGCCUCCGGUUGAUUACUUUCUUGCACCUGAUAUGAUUAUUGUUGAUGCAUCCAUACUUAACUGUUGAAUUAGACAUGGCAUGGCAUGAUUGAUAAAGAAAAAAUGUUGAGUUAAUGAAUUAAAGUAUUGAGAAUAUAUAUGUAUAUUUAUAUUUUACAUUUCUGGGAAAAUAUACAGGUUUUACAGAGAGGGGUUACAACGUUUUGAAAAAUGUUUGGAUUUGGAAAAGAAUUGUUUUACUGACCCACUCAAUUUUGGUUUUGCGCCCCUCCAGGUUCAGGAAUCACAAAGGUGUGGUGACUACGAGGAAUACAGCGGGGUUCUGACAGAUUGGACAAAAUUAGGACUCACCUUCGGGUGUAUCAACUUAUAAAUUGUAUCUUAAAGCUUCCGUACUGUGCAAAUGGUUACGUCACUCUCACGUGACGGCCAGCAUGCCCUCCUUCGGGACGGGGUGUGUCAGUUGGUAUCAGAGCAUGGUUGCAAUCUUGGACAUUUUGAGAAGUUCUAGUGAAUUCUGUCAGAACUACACCGCCUCGUAGCAAGCCACUUAGUUAGAGGAAUUUAGUCUCCCUAAUAUAACGGUUUAGGGGAAACUAUUAUUAUGGUGAUUCAGUCUAUUAUAAAAAGGGACAUUUUAAGAUGGGUUAUGAGUUGAAUUUGAAUCACUUAAGAGAAAUGAUGAACCUGAGGGAGCGAAGUAACGGUUUAACCAUUUGGAAAAGAUGUUUCGGAUUAUGCAAGUCAAAGGAAUCUUCCUUCUGACAGGGGGUCGAGACGACUACCUGGUUUUGGGUAUGAAUUUGUAUCCUGGUGGAAACAGGAGUAUGAUUUGUUGUCAUCGGAGGAACAACCGAUUUAAAAUUGUUUAAGGAAAAGUUUAUCCCUCUGGCAUUUAUUGAUGGUAGUAAACAAGAGUUUACAAAUAUGAGACAAGGAAGGUGAUGAUCGAGGGAUAUUAUAGAAAGUUUUCAGACUUGCCUCGUUCCAUCCAGAUAUUGUUGUGAAUUUGGUGGAGGUGUUAUGUUGUUUUAGGCUGGGUGACAAAAGGAAGUGGUAUUUUUGGGUGACCCCUAUCCAUGGUAUUUCUUACCAGGAGUAUAUGAGAUGUUGUUGAGCCUUGAAGACUCUGAGAAUAUGAUCAGCGAGAGUAAAGAUGAAUAAGAAAAGAAUGGGAAUUAGAUGAAAGAACGAUAAAGUUAAUGAUUCGUCAUAUCAAGAAUAUCGAAAGACUCAGAGCUUCAAAAGAAGUGAAGCUAGAGUUAAUUUUUCCAGUUGAGGUUUUAAUGUCGCUGGUCAGAGUAAAAGUGAUGGAUAUACUGGUAAUCCCAGAUAUUUGAGACAAGGUGUCUCGAGUAAAGGAAAUGUACUUUGUGCAGCAGGUACAAAAAUUAACACUUUGGGAAGUGUGAAAUUAAUGAAUGUGUUUAUGUGAACAGAGGGGACACAGAAUUGUGAAUCGUCCCUAUAAUCAGUUGUACUCAAUAAUUUUCCAUGAUAUCAUAGUGUCGAUUCAGCAGAGUUAUGGAUUUAGUAGUUUGGUCGGAUUGACCGUGAGUACAGAGAGAUUUGAUGAGUUAUAUGUUCAGCCGUACAGACCAUAAGAAGUGGAUUCGAUUGACACAUGAGAAAUUAGUGAGUUAUAGGCUCGGCCGUACCGACCACGCGAAGUGGAUCCGGCCGACGUAUUAUUAAGAUAAGAGUUGAAUCAACCGUAUUGGUCAUUCUAGUUGACUUCGGCUGAUAUAUUUCUUAUUAUGUAUGUUAUUACCUAGAGAGUAGUAAAUAAAUGUAGUUGAGACGAGUGUAUGUAUUGCAUUGAGUAACAAAAUAGUAAUGUUAUAUCUUUGAGAGUGGUUGCCUACUUAUCGAGACAACGAUGAUUUAUCAGUAUUGCGGGCUGCAGACCGUAAUAUUAAUAACUCAUUCGUGGAUUCGUUAAGCAAGCAAACCGGUAGAUUAUUUUAUGUUAGUAUUGUACUUAUUUAGAAUGCUUAAUAAUAAUAGAAUAUAUAUUGUGUCGGUUAAAUUAUUUCCAUUAGAUUGGUUGGUUAUAAUUGUGACAAGACGGAAUGUUAAGGGAAACCAGUACUUUCCAUCGAUCUGGAUGACCAGAGAUUACUUUUGUAAGUAUGCAAAGUGGAUUGAGUCAGGCCGUUAUUUAUGCUGUGAGAGCAAAGAGAUUGUUUUCGAAAGGCUGUCAAAAAUAUUAGCUCGUGUGGUGCUAAAUGAUGUUGUUUGGAGUAGUGUGAAUAAUGUCAAAAAGGGGUUAGACUUUUCUUGAUGUCUUCCCUGAAAGUAUACCUGGAUUGCCUUCAGGCAGAGAUAUGAGGUUCACUAUUGAUUUGUUGCCAGGUAUAAAUCUAUGUUAAAGAUUGGUUCAGGAUGAGUUAAGGGAAUUGGAAAUUCAGUUGAAAGAAUUGGUUGAUAAAAGUUUCAUUCAACCUAGUACAACAUUUUUGAGGAGCCCCAGUUUGUUGGUGAGGAAGAAAAUGGACUUAGAGAUUGUUCAUUGAUUAUAGACAAUGGAGUCGGGUAACGAUUAAGAACCGUUAUCCAUGGUAAUGUACUGAUGUUUAUUUAACCAGCUCAGAAGUAAUUGCGAAGAUUCAAAGAUUGAAUUGAGAUCUGGUUACUACCAAUUGAAUAUUAUAAGUGACGUUGAUCAUAAGAUGGUUUUCUGGACUCGUUAUAGUCUUUAUGAAGUUUGGUGAUGCUAUAUGGAUACUCAUGCUGUUUUAUGAGUUAUUGGAUGAAGUAUUCCAAUAAUGCCUUGAUAAAUAGAUAUCAUUUUCAUUGAAGAUAUUCUGGCAUAUUCUGAGCCAGAGCAGAGCAUGUAAACGUAUUAAGUCGGUGGAACAAAGAUUGGAAAGAAUGUCGGUUGUAUGCUAAGUAGCAAAUGCUAAAGUUAGAUGAAUCAGGUGGCAUUCUGAGAUUUGUUAUAUAUUCUUAAGGUAUUCAAGUGAAUCCUUAAAAGAUAGCAGAAAUUGAGAAUUUGGAACAACCACGAGUCGUAAUUGAGAUUUGGAAUUUCUUAGCUUACCAGGCUAUCUUGGAUGGUUGUGAAAGAUUUUUCAGUCAUUGCUUUGUCAUUGACGAGACUGUUGAGAAAAGAGGUCAUGUAUGAGUGGGAAGGAAAUUGUGAGCAAAGGAUUCAACAACUGAAGUAUUUUCCUCACUCAUGCACGUAUUUUGGUAUUCCCAGAGAAUAGUGGUAAUCAUAUAAAUUUUUAGUGAUGUUUCUUGAAUGGUAUUGGAUGCAUGUUGAUGCAAAAUGUUAGGGUGAUUGCAUACGUUUCACGAUAAAUGGAAUCUCAUAAGAUGAAUUACCCUACGGGUGACUUAGAAAUCAUGAUUACCAUUCUUGCUGUGAAGUUAUGAAGGGCAUUAUAUUUGGUAAGAAUGCAAGAUUUUUACGAAUCCAAAAAGUCUUUCAAUAUCCAUUACUUGGAAGGAUUUUGAUAUGAGGCAGCGAAAGUGAAUUGUAUUGCUUAAUGAAUAAUGAUUGUACGAUCAGGGUGAUCGUAAAGUUUGUUCUAAACUGAAGCACUUGGUGAGAAAUACUACAGUAAGAUUAAUGUCUGGCACGUUUUGCCAAGAGUAUCAUCUUGUGGAUUGAAAACCAACGGAAGAAAAAUUAAGAAUGGAAGAUCGAGAAGAAGUUAUACUUGUUAAAUUUCAAGUUAGGCCUGUUUGGUAAGGUCGUACUUGAAACUUAAAUGCUUGACGAAGAAAUUUAAGAAUUAACCAAGGUAGAGAAAGAAGGUAAGUUAAAUCCUAAGUUAAUCGGACUUAAGUGAUUAUCGAAAAGUUGGUGAAGUUGCUUACAAGCUUGUGAUGCCCUCAGAAUUGGUUAAGGUGCAAAACAUAUUUUAUGAUUCGAUGCGUUGUCACUAGGUGGCAGAUUCGUCACAUGAGAUUCUGGUGUAACUAUUGAGAAUUAAAUUGGAUUCGACUUGAUAAGGAAUCAAGGACGACUUUGGAUUGGAAAAAGAAGGUCCUGAGAAUUAAGACAGAGUAAGUAGUAAAAGCUUUGUGAAGGAAAUCAUUCAGUAGAAAAGUAUGUGGGAGAAAGAGAAUCGGAUGAGAAAGAUUUACCCGAAGCUAUUGUUGGAGUAUGGUUGAUUUAGUUGGUUGCUGGAAUUUCGGGGACGAAAUUCUAUAAGGAGGGAAGAUUGUCACAGCCCGUCCCGGAAUUUUAAUUCCGAGGACAUAAAAAGACGAAAAUGCCCUUAAACGGGACUAAGGGGCGAAAAUUUAACAAUUUGGAUUGAGUUGGACACGUGAGAUCCCCACACCCCUCAAUCCUCUCCCUAUUUUCUGCAUACUGUCUCUCUCUCUCCUCCCUCACGAAUCUCUCUCUCUCUCUGUCACUCUUCUUCUCCGUUCGAACAAACCAACCACAAAACAACCUUAAACUUCCACCAACGACGGAGUUAAGACCACCAUCGAACUCCUGGAGACUCCACGAUCACGUAGACACCAAUUUCAGGUAAGUUUUACUUCGGAAAACCUAGAUUCUAAACUCCCCGUGAAAGUGCACUGUUCAUGAUCUUCGAAUUGACUUUGUUUUAGGACAAUCCAAGCUCAUAGUGAGCUUUAGGAUGUCCCAAGGAAGCUCGGAGUGCUUCGUUGGAAGUUUUUGGACGUAAGAACACGGAGAUCGACAAGUUCAAAGUUUGGCCGGAGCUUUCGAGGCGUUUUCCGGCGAAUCCCCGGCGAGUUAGGAGUCGAGGUAGGUAUCAAUCUCUUCGUCUCGUCAAGUACUAUAACUUUCAUUUUUGUUUCACUCAAUUUCGUUGAGUAUUGAAGAAGUUAUACUCAUUUGAAAAAUACCCAGUUUCCGGCGACCUCCGAGGCUUUCGAGGCAGUUUCCGGCCAAACCACGGCUAACUAGGUGUUGUGCAAGGUACCAUUCUCUUUGUCUCUUCAAGGGCUACAACUUUCGUUUUUGAAUCACUUGAUUUCGUUGAGAAAUGACAAAGUUAUGGCAAUUUGAAAAAACUGCUCAGAAAACGGCCGCCGGAAAAACCAGUCCGGCGACCCAAGGAAGAAGAAGGUGCUACAGUAAAAAAAAAAUAAAAAUAAAAUUAUUUUAAAAAUAUGUCGACGUCCGUGACGUCGAGUAGAUCACUGUGGUAUAUUCAUAUACCUAAAUUGAACACCGU